rnacentral:rRNA from 1 species
ACGCUCGACACCUACGGGAGGCAGCAGUGGGGAAUAUUGGGCAAUGGGCGAAAGCCUGACCCAGCAACGCCGCGUGAGGGAAGAAGGUUUUCGGAUUGUAAACCUCUGUCCUCAGGGACGAAGGACGUGACGGUACCUGAGGAGGAAGCCCCGGCUAACUACGUGCCAGUAGCCGCGGUAAUCUGAGCGGGCUGGCAAGGC